UACGGAGGGUGCGAGCGUUGUCCGGAAUCACUGGGCGUAAAGGGCGCGUAGGCGGCCUGAUAAGUAGGGGGUGAAAUCCUGCGGCUUAACCGCAGGGCUGCCUUCUAAACUGUCAGGCUCGAGCACAGUAGAGGCAGGUGGAAUUCCCGGUGUAGCGGUGGAAUGCGUAGAGAUCGGGAAGAACAUCAGUGGCGAAGGCGGCCUGCUGGGCUGUUGCUGACGCUGAGGCGCGAAAGCUAGGGGAGCGAACGGG
rnacentral:rRNA from 1 species